UACGGAGGAUCCAAGCGUUAUCCGGAUUCAUUGGGUUUAAAGGGUGCGUAGGCGGACUGAUAAGUCAGCGGUGAAAUCUUCAAGCUUAACUUGGAAACUGCCAUUGAUACUAUAGGUCUUGAAUUAUCUGGAGGUGAGCGGAAUAUGUCAUGUAGCGGUGAAAUGCUUAGAUAUGACAUAGAACACCAAUUGCGAAGGCAGCUCACUACGGAUGUAUUGACACUGAGGCACGGAAAAG
rnacentral:rRNA from 1 species